UACGAAGGGGGGCUAGCGUUGCUCGGAAUCACUGGGCGUAAAGGGUGCGUAGGCGGAUUUGUAAGUCAGGGGUGAAAUCCCGGGGCUCAACCUCGGAACUGCCUUUGAUACUGCAAAUCUCGAGUCCGGAAGAGGUGAGUGGAAUUCCUAGUGUAGAGGUGAAAUUCGUAGAUAUUAGGAAGAACACCAGUGGCGAAGGCGGCUCACUGGUCCGGUACUGACGCUGAGGUGCGAAAGCGUGGGGAGCAAACAGG
rnacentral:rRNA from 1 species